rnacentral:rRNA from 1 species
UGAGUAACCUGCCCUUAACUCUGGGAUAAGCCUGGGAAACUGGGUCUAAUACCGGAUAUGACUCCUCAUCGCAUGGUGGGGGGUGGAAAGCUUUUUGUGGUUUUUGGAUGGACUCGCGGCCUAUCAGCUUGUUGGUGAGGUAAUGGCUCACCAAGGCGACGACGGGUAGCCGGCCUGAGAGGGCGACCGGCCACACUGGGACUGAGAUACGGCCCAGACUCCGUACGGGAGGCAG